rnacentral:rRNA from 1 species
AUUGAACGCUGGCGGCAUGCCUAACACAUGCAAGUCGAACGAGGGGCGGACGGGUGAGUAAUGUCUGGGAAACUGCCUGAUGGAGGGGGAUACCUACUGGAAAGGGUAGCUAAUCCCGCAUACCAUCGGAUGUGCCCAGAUGGGGUUAGCUAGUAGGUGGGGUAAAGGCUUACCUAGGCGACGAUCCCUAGCGGGUUUGAGAGGAUGACCAGCCACACUGGAACUGAGACACGGUCCAAACUCCUACGGGAGGCAGCAGUGGGGAAUCUUGGACAAUGGGCGAAAGCCUGAUGCAGCCACGCCGCGUGUGUGAAGAAGGUCUUCGGAUUGUAAAGCACUUUUAUUAGGGAGGCGUUACCAACAGAAUAAGCACCGGCUAACUUCGUGCCAGCAGCCGCGGUAAUUC